UACGUAGGGGGCAAGCGUUGUCCGGAUUUAUUGGGCGUAAAGAGCGUGUAGGCGGCUAUACAGGUCCGCUGUGAAAAACUCGAGGCUCAACCUCGAGACGUCGGUGGAAACCGUAUGGCUAGAGUCCGGAAGAGGAGAGUGGAAUUCCUGGUGUAGCGGUGAAAUGCGCAGAUAUCAGGAAGAACACCAAUGGCGAAAGCAGCUCUCUGGGACGGUACUGACGCUGAGACGCGAAAGCGUGGGGAGCGAACAGG
rnacentral:rRNA from 1 species